ensembl:lncRNA
CAGCAGCCCUCCCGCCCAGGGAGCUCUGAUUGUGUUUAUACUCCUACAGUCACAGCGAGGGAUUUUCUCCAUCUGGGGUUUGAUUUGAAGGAGUUUCAGAGUUUUUUUUGUUUUCAACCAAAGCAAGGAUUUUCUAAAUUUUGGAAUAUCAGUCUGUCAGUAAAGAUUUCUUCUGAGAACAACUCUUAAGACUGAAGAUGUCUUUAAAGAGGCGCCUGCUGUCCAUGUUGUUGUGCUGUGUUUACUGCGUGGCCUCGCUCUUCUGCCUCCAUCCAAACCGCAACAACUGCUUCUCUGCCGGAGCUCGGAAACCAAACUACCUCUGGCUAAGCGGAUAGCAGAACACAGAAGAGCUACCUCGUCAGGCCAGGACUCUGCAGUCUAUUUACAUCUACAGGGCAGUGGACACUCUUUCAGUGGUGAGGAUGUGCACAUCCUGGACAGGGAGGAACGCUGGUUUGAGCGGACAGUCAAGGAGGCCAUUUACGUGAAAAGGGAAAGACCAUCUCUGAAUCGAGGAGGGGGCCAAAGGGAAUCUGGUGUCAGUUGUCCAACAGCUUUACCAGCGAGCCAUUCGGCUGCUGCGCACCACUCUGUGAUUCCACACCACUUCCUGUGCCUGAACAAGUAAGGCUGGAUUUCAUCAAGAAUGCCCUCUAGAAGAAGAAACAGAGGAAAUGCAUCCCUAAACUUUCGGACUGCAGAGUUUCCAUUCACUCAGUUUCCCUUGAAUUUGGCUCCAACUGCCCGUUUUUGUUUAUUAUUGAUAUUUUCCAACUAUAUUUUAAAUGUAGAGGAGAAGAAUACCUAGCCAAUGUAUAUUUUUCUACUGAUGAAGUUUAGCAUUGUGGAUAUUUGCUGUUUGACAUGUGAGUGAUGUGGAAAGGACAUCAGCAGUCCUCUUUUAAAAGCAUUUAAGGGGUUUACUGCAGUUUUUUUAAUUUACAUAAAAGAAUCUGGGUAGCCGAAAAUUUGCUGAUUUAAAUUCCGGGAGGCUCUGUGAGUUGUAAUGUUUGAAAUGCAAGCGCAAACUUUCUUCCCUCUGCUAAUAACUACCAAAGAGCUGUUUUUGUGUUCUGUUUCUACUGUAUCCUGUGAUGUAAGUGCUGUCUUCACAGGUUCAAAAUGCAGGAAAAUCCACAAGAAACAGAGGAGCAUGAUGCUCCUGAAAAGGAAAGAGAAUGAUAAAAACAAGACAGUAGAUCAUAAUCAAAACCCAGUGAAUGCAACCUGGACUAACUACUAAAGCUUAAACACUGCAGUAACACUUGGCUCAUUCAUUGCAAAUAUGUGCCACGGUUGUACAAGAAACAUAAGCCUUAGACAUGUUAGCUGAACCAUGUUGCCCUUAUGCCCUUUACUCCUAUUACGUAAGUGAAACUGUAGAUCAACAUUUCAUCAUAUGAAAAAUUUCAGGUGUCAUAUUUUGAAAGGUAAUGUCAUUUGUGCACAGCAUUUUUAUUUGUGUCCCUAAUGGAAGUAUGUUUUCAUGCUGUGCAGCUACCUGAUGAGCAACUCUCAGGUGCUUAAAGCACCAAACAGAUGCAGUUUGAGGGGGGUGGGUACUUUUUUUUAAUGCUAAAGUAAUGGGAGUGAAUUUAUUUUGUAACACUUGCAGGUAGUGAAGGUAGUUAGGUUGCAUGGGUAAGUUUAAAUACAACGGGUCAACCAUGCAAACCAACAGCCAUUAGACAAUGCACAAGAGAGGUGAGGAAGAGAGCACAGGCAGAGUCGAGGAGGUGGGCGUAGAUGACUGUCAGGGGUGAUUUUUGGCUAAAGGAUAGCAAAAAGAGUGAAAGGGAAGGUUUACAAGAUGGUAGUGAGGCCUACUCUGAUGUACAGUUUUGAAAUGGUAGCACUGCCGGGAGGCAGAGCUGAAGAUUUACAUCAGGAAUGAAAGGAUUAGAAAUGAGUAAAUCAGAGUGACAGCUCAGACAAAGUUACAAAGAGAAGGCUGAGAUGGUUUGGACAUGUACAGAGGAGGGAUAGUGCAAGUACUGGACAAAGGAUGUUGAAUAUGGAGCUGCCAGGCAGGAGGGAAAUAAGACUGCAGAGGAGGUAGUGAAGGCGGACGUGUAGAGGGUUGGCGUCAAAGACGAGGAUAUGGAUUAGGUGAGAUGGGGGCAGAUGAUCUGAUAUGUCAACCUCAAGCUGCUUCUUCUGGAGCAGCCAGAAGAAGAAGAAAACAAACACUUUAGCAUUAGAGCAGUUAGGUGUGAAAGAAUCCAACAGGAAAUCAUAAUAAAAUAAGAAAGAAAACUUUGCAUCGUAUGUAAAAUCAAUUUCAUUAAGAAAUCGGAAAAAAAUAAAAACUUGGGUUGUUUCAAGUUGCCGAUUUUAUGUUUUAUUGAGAAUGGAGUCUCUCAUCUGUUGCAAACACGCAAGAAAAAAAAAAAUGCCGAAUAUGUGUUGCCAUACAACUGAGAGCACAAAGAUAAAGGAGUAAGGGUUCAUUAAAGAAAUAUGAUGAUGAAAACGCUAGGGUGUGAUUAAAUAUAUCACAGUUUGAAUGCUGUGGAUGGAUUUUAAUUUAAUGUGCUACCUGAAAAGAUAUUAGAAAACUAUGUACUUUUCUUACUUUUGUAUGACUGCGUGUUUCACACUGUUCAGGGGAAGACCUGUUCCACAGUACAAC